rnacentral:lncRNA from 1 species
AUGAAGCAGGAGGGAGCUGAGGGGCUCCAAGUCCAGAGCCCCCAAGAAGGACCUUCGUCCAUGAAGGGCAUGGAGAGCAUGGUCUCAUCUCCUGGGCACCAAGCGGAGAGGAACAUGGCAGAUAAAGGCUGGAGAAACAAGGGCCCCGGUCUUCUUGUCUUCCUUCUGAUCAUCAUCACAGGUAAAGUAAAAAAAGGACCAGAAUCAAAGCUCAAAGACUCUCAAACAUGGAACUCAAAAGACGUAAGUGCCAUGACCUGACAUUAUUUUUUCUUUUACAAAGAAUAACAAAUUGGAAAUUCCAACAGCAUUGCAGAAGUGUUUGACUCAGUUCCCACUCAUAGUUGAAAACUGCAUUUCUGCUGUCCUGCUGCCGAGCUUUCUCACCCACAGGAGGGCACUGCCUCUGAUUACACCAACAGGUUCGAGUCCUGAGGGUCAGGCCUGUUGCGCAAGUGCCAGGAGGAAGCAGAGGAGGAGUCUGCAGCAGGACCUGCAGCGCAGGAGCCAUCUGGCUCCUGGGGCUGACUCCUUGCCGCUUUCCUUCUCUGCUGCUCACAGGCAGUGCAGACUCGGGAACCUUUCCAGGACAGUUGUAUGAAAGAGAAAGCCAUUACUCCUCCAAGCCUGAGUAGUGACAGAGGCAACUCCACUAGGAUUCCUGAUCAAGCCACCUUGUCUGGUGUGAACUUCUUUUUCCACUAAGAUUGCUGGACUUGUUUACAUGUGUUUUAUUCAGAGCUACAGUAAUCUGUUCACAAGAGACAGAAAUCCUGGUAAAUCAAUCCUUAAAGCCUGUUGACAUUUGUCCACUUGGCAGAUCAUAAAAGGCCCUUGAAAAUCACAGGAGUAAAUGUGUAAACCGCUUACCAAAUUAUAUGAGGUAAACGCCAAGAGAAGGCGUUCUGCAGGAUGAGAUCACUGACUUGUGACUGCCUUCCUAAUGUAACUAUUUUGGUCUUGGGUUACAUGUGAGGUGUUGCCAAGAUCAACUGAAAGAGAGACAAAGACACAUGAAUUCAGCCCAAAAGCUGACUUUAAAGUUCUCUGUCUUCAAAAAGACUGGAGAUUCUUUAUGAGAUGUAGUUUUGCAUAAACAAUCUUUGCUAACAAGAGUUUUCCCCAAAUAUCAGCGAAAUUUUAUCCAGUUCCUUGUAAACAUUAUGUGAGUGCCAGAAAUGAUCUUGGAGUUUUGAAAGAAAAAACUAGAACUAGAGAAAACUUCAUGCCGUAAAUACACAGAUAAAAUACACACUGAAAU